GGUGAAAUAAAGUCAGUGCAAGAUAAACAAAGACAGAGACUUUGUAAUUCAUCACAACCAGUUACAGAUUCCUUUGUUCCUUCUCCACUCCCACUGCUUCACUUGACCAGCCUUUA
rnacentral:sRNA from 1 species